rnacentral:rRNA from 1 species
UACGUAGGGUGCAAGCGUUGUCCGGAAUUAUUGGGCGUAAAGAGCUCGUAGGUGGCCUGUCGCGUCGGCUGUGAAAACUCGGGGCUCAACUCCGAGCUUGCAGUCGAUACGGGCAGGCUAGAGUUCGGCAGGGGAGACUGGAAUUCCUGGUGUAGCGGUGAAAUGCGCAGAUAUCAGGAGGAACACCGGUGGCGAAGGCGGGUCUCUGGGCCGAUACUGACACUGAGGAGCGAAAGCGCGGGGAGCGAACAGG